rnacentral:rRNA from 1 species
AACGAACGCUGGCGGCAUGCCUAACACAUGCAAGUCGAACGAGACCUUCGGGUCUAGUGGCGCACGGGUGCGUAACGCGUGGGAACCUGCCCUUAGGUUCGGAAUAACUCCCCGAAAGGGGUGCUAAUACCGGAUAAUGUCUUCGGACCAAAGAUUUAUCGCCUUUGGAUGGGCCCGCGUUGGAUUAGCUAGUUGGUACGGUAAAAGCCUACCAAGGCGACGAUCCAUAGCUGGUCUGAGAGGAUGAUCAGCCACACUGGGACUGAGACACGGCCCAGACUCCUACGGGAGGCAGCAGUGGGGAAUAUUGGACAAUGGGCGAAAGCCUGAUCCAGCAAUGCCGCGUGAGUGAUGAAGGCCUUAGGGUUGUAAAGCUCUUUUACCCGGGAUGAUAAUGACAGUACCGGGAGAAUAAGCUCCGGCUAACUCCGUG